rnacentral:rRNA from 1 species
UACGGAGGGUGCGAGCGUUAAUCGGAAUUACUGGGCGUAAAGCGUACGUAGGCGGUUAGUUAAGUUAGAUGUGAAAGCCCCGGGCUUAACCUGGGAACUGCAUUUAAAACUGGCUAACUAGAGUUGAGUAGAGGGGAGUGGAAUUUCAGGUGUAGCGGUGAAAUGCGUAGAGAUCUGAAGGAACACCAGUGGCGAAGGCGACUCCCUGGACUCAAACUGACGCUGAGGUACGAAAGCGUGGGUAGCAAACAGGAUUAGAUACCCCCGUA